rnacentral:rRNA from 1 species
GACGAACGCUGGCGGCGUGGAUUAGGCAUGCAAGUCGAACGGUAUCAUCCUUUCGGGGGUGAGAGAGUGGCGAACUGGUGAGUAACACGUAGGUUAUCUACCCUCAAGACGGGGACAACCCAGGGAAACUUGGGCUAAUACCGGAUGUGAGCAACUUUUAGUUGUUUGAAAGGUGGCGUAAGCUGUCGCUUGGGGAUGAGCCUGCGUCCUAUUAGUUAGUUGGUGAGGUAACGGCUCACCUAGGCAAUGAUAGGUAGGCGGCCUUAACGGGUGGUCGCCCACACUGGGAUUGAGAUACGGCCCAGACUCCUACGGGAGGCAGCAGUCGAGAAUAGUCUACAAUGGUCGGAAGACUGAUAGUGCGACGCCGCGUGAACGAUGAAUCCCUUCGGGGUGUAAAGUUCUUUUAUAUGUGAGCAGUGCUUCUUAUAUUAACAGUAUGGGGAGAGAGAUAUUAGCAUAUGAAUAAGCAACGGCUAACUCCGUGCCAGCAGCCGCGGUAACGUACG